rnacentral:lncRNA from 1 species
UUUCUAUCUGUUACGGUCCAAAUGAAACAUAAUCCAUAAUUCUAUCUGUUAUGAUCGAAAUCAAACAGAGAACCCACCGGCGUGGAUCUCACUGAUCCGGGACCUGAAGCAACAAAGCUGCCUUCUACUCUGCGAUAUUCGCGCAACAAGGAAUCAGGUAUGUAUGUUUUCGUUGUUGUACACACUAUAAGAGCAGUUUCAAGGGAUCCCUUAAACCAUUGAAUGAAUUGGGGCUGCUCAGAAUUACGUAGAUUAAUGUUGUUGAAAUUAACGUAUGAGUACUUCUAAAAUUACAAGUACUUUCAGUAGGAGCACUGAUGUGAGAUCUCUCCGUUCCGAUCUGAACAUUGGUUCAGUCUCACAAUUACUGUGAAUCUUGGAAGCAACUUCUCUAAUGCAGAGGAUCCAAAAGAUAAUUCACUUUUCUGUGAUCUAGGUUUUCUUCAAGAACUAAAUUUAGAUGCUGACUUGAAUUUUCAUGAACAUCCCCUCGUCGUUUUAAGGUCCAUCGUGGUUUAGGGCCAAAACGACCUCAACGGUACAGUGAUGAUUCCUACUCGGAACUCCUCCGCGAAAAAGAGGUAUGAGUCACCGUCACUCUGAAAUCGAUUAUGUAACACUCUAUUCAAUGCUGCUGAUUCUUAGGUGAUUAAAAGAAAAAGAACCGAGAUCAAGUUGGUUCCUCCAAAUAUUUUAAGAGAGAUCACCUCCAAACAUUGAUGUCAACUCGAAUCCCUUUCAAAGGUGUAGUCCAGAGUUCAAUCUCUACUGCUAACAAAUUUAUGUCCCUUAACAAAUUAAGCAAUAACAUUUGGUUAGCAAAAAAUGUAAAAUCAGAACUUAUGAUAUGAUAAGAAUGAUUCGACCUUCUCUUGUAAUGGAUUCUUCAAGCAAUUUGAUAGAUAAAAACAAAAAUGUAAGAUGAAUGUUUGUGUAAUCAAUAGUUCACAUUGAUAAUAAAACAGAACAAGAGUCCAUGCUAAUACUAUAUAGUUGAGAAUCCAGCAAUAAAAUCCAUUUUGUUGAUUGUUUCAAGCAAUAAGAGUCAUGCAAGAUCAUUCUUAGAACCAAGCAUAUCAUGUAAUAAAAAUCCAUACACUUCAUUCAUAAUCAUAGUACAGAAAAUUUGCUCUUGUUGGAUAAAAGAAAAUAACUGCUAAACAAGUAACUAGUCCUACUUUGGUGGCAAUUAUGCUAUCACAAUAGGGCUUCUUACUUCAUGCUCACCAUCUUUCCACACCAAACCUCCAAAUUCUGGAUUACUUUGCCUAGACGUGGCUUUGAAAGUAACCUUAUAAGACAAUUUCUCAUACUUUCUUGUGAAAUUCAAUGUAUCUGGCUCAACUUUCACAACACUACCUUUGAAAGGUGUAACAAUGACUUGAUAUUUUGAAACAUCAGGUCCAACAUUGGUGACAGUUCUACGAAUCGUCAUUUCUGAAGUCAAUGUUUUAUUCGGAAACACUAUUGAUAUAGCCGGAUAAUUCAAGUCCCCUGCACUUUCAAGAGUGUUUCUACAUACUCUAUUUGAAUAUAUAGCAAAACCUCUUAAUUCUGUUCGCUGUGUACAAAGGAACUCAAAGUAAUCUUGUGGUUCAAUAUCAUAUAUUAAACCUGGUUCAAGAGCUUUUAUAGGAUUAAUGUGUCCUGCACCAUGAGCAUAAGGUGUUGAAGGUUCAUCAGAUGAAGAAUCUUUUAUAGGUUGGAUUGUAUUAUCAAGAACAUAAGCUGUUGUCAUGAUAGCAGAUUUUAUAGCAGCUGGACUCCAUUCAGGAUGUUUAGAUUUUAUCAUAGCAGCAAUUCCACUAACAUGUGGACUUGACAUUGAAGUACCAGAAAGUAUAUUGAAUUUCACUCUUCUUUGAUCUGUUGGUAAACUUGAUGGACCAGUGACACCACUCCAAGCAGCAAGAAUGUUCACACCAGGAGCAACUAUAUCAGGUUUUAGAAUUUCUGGUGUUAGAUAAUUAGGCCCUCUUGAUGAAAAUGCUGCUACUAUAGGUGAUGGUUUAAAUCCUAAUCUUGUGUCAAGAAAAGCUAGUGUUGCAGUAGCAUUUUUAUUUGUUAACACAUAUUGUUUGAUUUCUUUGCCUUCUUUUUCUCCUAUUGCUAUUGCUGGAAGUAGGUGACAAUCUGCCACAAUCUCAUCACCAUUAGCUGCUGUGUUUGUUAGUAUCAUUCCUACACCUCCUGCAUCUUUCACUUCCUGACCCUUUUGCAAUCCAGAUAUAAUUCCACUAUCACAAAUCACGAUUUUUCCGGCGACGGUUUGGCGAUUUAAAGUACCUUUUAAACACAAAGAUCUUGGAUCAGGACUAGUUGAGUUACCUCCCAUGUAAACCAAAGGAUACUGUUUUUUAACUGAGAGCAUUGUUUUUCCUUUGUAGAGUGAAGUUCCCGUGAUUUUUCUUCCAUUUCCAAGGCUAACAUCUGCAGGAAAAUCUCUGUCAAUUGUGCUAGCUCCAACUGUUGUAAUCCAAGGUGAAGCAUUUGUGAGACUAGCAGGAUUAGGUCCUGCAUUUCCAGCUGAACAUGAAACAAAAACACCUUUCUCCAUUGCUCCGAACGAAGCUACCGAUAAAUUAUCGAGGUAAUAAGACGAGAAUUUGCCGCCUAACGAAAUGGAAAGAACAUUGACACCAUCAGCUACAGCUCUAUCAAGAGCUGACAGAAUAUCUGAGCCGAAACAGCCACCUGACCAACAAACUUUGUAAGCUGCAAUUCUUGCAUUUGGUGCCAUUCCUCUUGCUUUUCCAUAAGCAUAGCCAAGAAGAUUAGCACCAUGAACUGGUGAACCAGCAACAGUAGCUGCUGUGUGUGUUCCGUGACCAUCUUGAUCUCUUGGUGAUUUGUAAUCUGCUUGUUCAUUAAUCCUACCAUAUGCUGCUUCAUAACCUUGGUAGAAUAUUCUUGCACCUAUAAUCUUGUUAUUGCAGUGAUGUUUUUCGAACCCUUUACCAGUUUCACAUGCACCUUUCCAGUGAGAAGGUACUGGUUUCAUUCCUGUGUCAUUGAAACUCUCACUUUCAGGCCAAAUACCAGUGUCUAACACACCAACUAUAACAUUUUGGUCAUUAUCAACCAGAUUUUGUGACAAGCUGUUAUUGUUGUUGCUUUGUAUAAUUGGUUCAAGACCAAGAAAAGAUGGACUUCUUGUUGUGUGUAGCUGAUACUUUGUAUCAGGGAAUAUGGCUACAACACCAUCUUCAUCUUCUAGCUUAUUUGCUUCUUUUUGGCUUAAUUUAGCAGCCAUUCCAUGAAAGGCAGUGUUGUAAUUAUAAAUGAUUCUCUCUUCAUUGUUGUUGUCUCUCUCAGCUUCUAAUGAUAUAGACAUUACUGACUUAACUUUUGAUGAAUACCAUUCUUUGUGAUUGGAAAAAAUGUUUGGUUUUGCUGACUUGUCCAUUUGAAUUAUGUAGGUCUUUUUGACAAAUUCAGCAUUUGAAGAUACGACUAUAAAACUCAAGAGGAAACAGAAUGUUAGAAUGCAACUCAUUUUUUCCAUUGGAGUGAUUAUUAGAUGCAUAGCCAUGUAUAGAGGAAAGGAAGAAGGAAUUAAGCUGUUG